rnacentral:rRNA from 1 species
GACGAACGCUGGCGGCGUGCUUAACACAUGCAAGUCGAGCGGAAAGGCCCUUCGGGGUACUCGAGCGGCGAACGGGUGAGUAACACGUGAGUAAUCUGCCCCUGGCUUCGGGAUAGCCACCGGAAACGGUGAUUAAUACCGGAUAUGACUACUUCCUGCAUGGGAUGGUAGUGGAAAGUCUUUCGGCCAGGGAUGUGCUCGCGGCCUAUCAGCUUGAUGGUGAGGUAAUGGCUCACCAUGGCUUCGACGGGUAGCCGGCCUGAGAGGGUGACCGGUCACACUGGGACUGAGACACGGCCCAGACUCCUACGGGUGGCUG